rnacentral:lncRNA from 1 species
GUACAAUGAGAGAGAGAGGGAGGGAGAGAAGUACAAUGAGAGGGAGGGAGAGAAGUACAAUGAGAGAGGGAGAGAAGGAGAGAGAGAGAGAGAAGAAGAAGAAGGAACAGAAAGUGUUUUAACACCACUAACACUAUCCUCUGUCUCAAACUCUCACAAAUGUUUUCUUCCUGUAUAAAUUCUCUAAGGUGGAACUACUCAUAGAGUCAAAAACGAAAAUGUGAUAUUAAAGACAGUUUAGUUGUGGAUCAGUAGAUGUGAUAUUAAAGACAGUUGAGUUGUGGAUCAGUAGAUGUGAUAUUAAAGACAGUUGAGUUGUGGAUCAGUAGAUGUGAUAUUAAAGACAGUUGAGUUGUGGAUCAGGAUAAUUAAUAUUAAAGACAGUUGAGUUGUGGAUCAGGACAAUUGAUAUUAAAGACAGUUGAGUUGUGGAUCAGGAGAAUUGAUAUUAAAGACAGUUGAGUUGUGGAUCAGUAGAUGUGAUAUUAAAGACAGUUGAGUUGUGGAUCAGGAGAAUUGAUAUUAAAGACAGUUUAGUUGUGGAUCAGGAGAAUUGAUAUUAAAGACAGUUGAGUUGUGGAUUAGUAGAUGUGAUAUUAAAGACAGUUGAGUUGUGGAUCAGUAGAAUUGAUAUUAAAGACAGUUGAGUUGUGGAUCAGUAGAUGUGAUAUUAAGGACAGUUGAGUUGUGGAUCAGUAGACGUGAUCCCUCUUACUGGAAGCAGAGCCUUGACUCUGAGAUGUAGGCGGCUGUGAAUUUCCACCAGGGGGUUUCCCUACUAUCUCUCUGUGCCUCUCCCCACCUUCUCUCUCUCUCCCCCUGUCUUUCCCUUCACUCUCAGAUCGUUGUCUCCUUUCUCUUCUCUCUCUCACCCAGGAUGCCAUGGUGACACACUUUCCCUGAAAGAUACUAUUAUAGCUGAACAGAAACAAAAUAAUUCUGUCUGUCUGUCUGUCUGUCUGUCUGUCUGUCUGUCUGUCUGUCUGUCUGUCUGUCUGUCUGUCUAAACAUUUUGUUGGUCCCCACAAGGUCAAAUGCUAUUUCUAGGGGGUUUAAGGUUAAAGUUAGAAUUAGUGUUAGGGUUAGAAUUACGUUAAGGUUUAGAAGCUAGGGUUAGGUUUAGUUUUAGGUUUAGGGUUAGGUUUAGGGUUAGGUUUAGGUUUAGGGUUAGGGUUAGGAGCUAGAGUUAGGGUUAGGUUUAGGGUUAGGAGCUAUGGUUAGGGUUAGGUGCUAGGGUUAGGGUUAGGAGCUAGGGUUAGGGUUAGGAGCUAGGGUUAGGGUUAGGAGCUAUGGUUAGGGUUAGGUGUUAGGGUUAGGAGCUAGGGUUAGGGUUAGGAGCUAGGGUUAGGGUUAGGAGCUAGGGUUAGGGUUAGGAGCUAGGGUUAGGGUUAGGAGCUAGGGUUAGGGGUUAGGGUUAAGGGUUAGGGUUAGAGUUAGGGUUAGGAGCUAGGGUUAGGAGCUUGGGUUAGGGUUAGGAGCUAGGGUUAGGAGCUAGGGUUAGGGUUAGGAGCUAGGGUUAGAGUUAGGGUUAGGGUUAGGAGCUAGGGUUAGGGUUAGGUUUAGGAGCUAGGGUUAGGGUUAGGAGCUAGGGUUAGGGUUAGGAGCUAUGGUUAGGGUUAGGAGCUAGGGUUAGGGUUAGGGUUAGGGUUAGGAGCUAGGGUUAGGGUUAGGGUUAGGAGCUAGGGUUAGGUCUAGCCUGUUCAACCUCUUUUUCGUAUCGUCUGAGAUUCCCAAAGAUUGGAAAGCUGCCGCGGUCAUCCCCCUCUUCAAAGGGGGAGACACUCUAGACCCAAACUGUUACAGACCUAUAUCCAUCCUACCCUGCCUUUCUAAAGUCUUCGAAAGCCAAGUUAAUAAA